rnacentral:rRNA from 1 species
GACGAACGCUGGCGGCGUGCUUAACACAUGCAAGUCGAACGGUGAAGCGCCUUCCUUUUUGGUGGGUGUGGAUGAGUGGCGAACGGGUGAGUAACACGUGAGUAACCUGCCCCCUUCUUCUGGAUAACCGCAUGAAAGUGUGGCUAAUACGGGAUAUUCUGGGUCUGUCGCAUGAUGGGUCUGGGAAAGAUAUUGUUUCGGUGGGGGAUGGGCUUGCGGCCUAUCAGCUUGUUGGUGGGGUGAUGGCCUACCAAGGCGGUGACGGGUAGCCGGCCUGAGAGGGUGGACGGUCACACUGGGACUGAGACACGGCCCAGACUCCUACGGGAGGCAGCAGUGGGGAAUAUUGCACAAUGGGCGCAGGCCUGAUGCAGCGACGCCGCGUGAGGGAUGGAGGCCUUCGGGUUGUGAACCUCUUUCGCCAGUGAAGCAGGCCUGCCUCGUUUGUGGGUGGGUUGACGGUAGCUGGAUAAGAAGCGCCGGCUAACUACGUG